rnacentral:rRNA from 1 species
AUACAGAGGGUGCAAACGUUGUUCGGAAUUACUGGGCGUAAAGCGCGUGUAGGCGGUCUUGUAGGUCGGAUGUGAAAGCCCUCGGCUCAACCGGGGAAGUGCAUUCGAAACCGCAAGACUUGAGUGUCGGAGAGGAAGGCGGAAUUGUCGGUGUAGAGGUGAAAUUCGUAGAUAUCGACAGGAACACCUGCGGCGAAAGCGGCCUUCUGGACGAACACUGACGCUGAGACGCGAAAGCGUGGGGAGC